rnacentral:rRNA from 1 species
GAUGAACGCUGGCGGCGUGCUUAACACAUGCAAGUCGAACGAUGAAGCCCAGCUUGCUGGGUGGAUUAGUGGCGAACGGGUGAGCAACACGUGAGUAACCUGCCCUUGACUCUGGGAUAAGCCUGGGAAACUGGGUCUAAUACUGGAUAUGACUUCUCAUCGCAUGGUGGGGGGUGGAAAGAUUUAUUGGUCUUGGAUGGACUCGCGGCCUAUCAGCUUGUUGGUGAGGUAAUGGCUCACCAAGGCGACGACGGGUAGCCGGCCUGAGAGGGUGACCGGCCACACUGGGACUGAGACACGGCCCAGACUCCUACGGGAGGCAGCAGUGGGGAAUAUUGCACAAUGGGCGCAAGCCUGAUGCAGCGACGCCGCGUGAGGGAUGACGGCCUUCGGGUUGUAAACCUCUUUCAGUAGGGAAGAAGCGAGAGUGACGGUACCUGCAGAAGAAGCGCCGGCUAACUACGUG